rnacentral:lncRNA from 1 species
UCUAGAAUAAUCUUAAGUUAAUAGAAUCUCUAAGAGUUUUCUCAACUAACUCAAUUAAUUUUUAAUAUGAAUAUCACUUCUCAUUGCACAUCUUCAUGGAUCUACAUGAAUUUUACUUAUCUUAUAUGCUGUGUCAAGGUAUGUGAAAUUUAUCAUAAGUUCUCAUUGAAUCUUCCCCUUCCUUUUAGGGUAUUUAGUUCAAUUUUCAGUUAUAUAUUCACCCGUGGAAUUAUUCACUUAAUAUCUCCCACUCGUUGGACUGGGCUAUACACCAAACAGAGGCAGAGCCUUUCCCUUGGAUCUAGUCACUGAGUAUGAAAUGCUCUCUUGGAGCCAUGUUCUAUAACCCUUGUGGGCAAUUACGACCUUUCAGAGCUUUGGUGGUCAGUGGUGAGCCUUUGCCAUCCAAUGCAACCAAAUCUCGGGAGAACAUUCAGCCCUUUUAUAAUCUGUGUGCCUGGUUUACAAAUGCCUCCUCUAAUUACUCCCCCAAAGGGGAUUCUCCCCUCCCAUGGUAAAAUGAUCUUCCUAAGCAAUGUUUACACUUUCUAUUUUUUCCCCUUCCAGGCUCUGUAGGGGAAGCUGUAGCCACGCCUACUUAGGGCUGGCUACAGGUGUGCCUGACCAUGCUUGCUAGGGCAUGGUCAGGGUGAUGUAGAGUGAGGCUUUCAGGGGACCGCAUUUCUCUUUUGUACUUGAGGACAGACUGCUGCCACACCGGCUGGCUAGGUUGCUCUGAAAACUCAUCUCCAGUAGUCAAAGGACACUACAUGGGUAGAUACUUAAGAAGAGAAGGUAGCUAUAACCAUCAAACAAAAGGAACGUGCUAUAUGGUAAACUUUACAGCUGUAUCUCAGAGAACUCUAUUUCUCCUUAUUUCCUAGUCCCAAUUCAAUUAAACCAAUGCUGUAUUUAGAGGUGGAUUUGGCUUUACUCCUCUAAAAUCCAAGCACAUUAUUUAACUAAACUUUAGAGUUUCUGUAUUGUAUCAAGAAGCCAAUUGAUGUAAUACAGAAUAAAAGAAGAAGUCUUUGUCUUUUCUUGGAUCUUUCUUUCAAGGUGUACACCCUCUCAUAAUCAUUAUUUUCCCAUGGUUGCCUUUCCCAGCAUGUGUACAUCACAAGCAAACAUUUCUCUGCUGUUUAUGGUUGAGUCCACAUAGCCAAUAAAGACCUGCCUGACAGCAAUCCCUAGACACCCUGGAAAGAAAAUGGGCCACACCUCCUUGACUGCACUGGAUCCAACUCUGGCCAGUGGUUCGGGUACUGACUUCAAUCAAGUUGAGGAUUUCAAGCGUGAUCUUCAAUCAAGCUAAUCCCAUCUAACAUGGACUGGAUACAAUCCAUUCAAGGCUUUCACUAUACUAACAUUUUCUUCCUACAGGACCCCACAAGGCUAUUGUCAUCCUGUUUCAGCAGGAAGUAACUUGGAGGAUGCUACUCCCCCUUUCCCCAUUGUUGUCAUUUAGGAUAGUGUAUAUACCUAGUUAGGGAUAGCUUCCUAUUGUUUAUGGUUGGACACCUCUUUCAUAUGACUUUAGGGUUUAGUUAAAAUAGUUAGGAUGUGACAUAAGCAGAUUGUUGUAUCUUCUUAUAUUUUACCUUUGUGAUUGUUAAUUUUGGAUACUUUACACUAAGUUUUAAUCCUCUUUUAGACUAAAAGUGGAAUUGUAGGGGAAGUUGUAGCCACGCCUACUUAGGGGCUGGCUACAGGUGUGCCUGACCACGCUUUCAAGUGCGUGGUCAGGGUGACGUAGAGUGAGGCUUUCAGGGGAUUGCGUUUCUCUUUCAGUUUCACUUUUGUACUUGCGGUACAGACUGCUGCCACGCCGGCUGGCUAGGUUGCCCUGUAAGUAAGGCUUUUCCCUAUUAAAUACCCUUAUAUUUCUAACUGACUCCAUAUUGGUAAUUUCCCACUUUAGGGCUCAAAUGAAGGUCCCACCCGCUUUUAGGUAGAACCUUCAGCCCAUCAUUUGGG